CACACAGUGGCAUAUCAUGAAAUUAUCUAUUUGUUUUAUAAAUAUUGAUGUUUCUCUGUUAAUUAGUAAAAGUAUAAAAAUUUCCCAAUUUAUGUCAUCUCAUAUACAUUGUUUCUCUGUACUCAGUGUAUUAAUCAAAGUGAGCCAAUUAAUUGCUACAUUCUAUAUGCUGCUGUUUUGUAAUAUCAAUAAAUUAGUAAGUGAAGUUGAGUUUAAUUUGCAUCUUACUAUUCAUCCAGAUGUAAACAGAUCCAGAUGAAAAAUUUGUAUGUAAUUUGCAUCCAGAUUUUUCAGAAGGAUUCCACCACAGUCAUCUGGGCAACUGUGAGAUUCAAAUGCCAGACCUGCCUUGUAAAACCUCAUCCUUCACUUGAUGACGGAUCCUGCCAGGAAUAUGAGUGUCUGUAAUGGGCAUGAAUAUGUCCCACUGUUUAAUAUGCCAAGUGGCAUAAAACUACACAGAAAAAAUAAAAAUAAAAUUUGCAUCUCAUAUAUGUUUUAAACACUAAUUCCAUCAUCAAACUAAGGCCUAGAUUUAAGCCUUGCCUCUGGAUGAAAAUCCAAAUCUCUUCCACCAAUUUAGAGUGAGUAAGAGUCAAUUGCCUAGAUCGGAAGAG
rnacentral:lncRNA from 1 species